CCGCCUCGGCGGGUUCCCUGCCCCCGGAGCGAGGGCGAGGAGAGGAGCCGGGGGCGAGGGCGGAGGCCGACAGGUGGGGGCGACUCCCUGUUGCUUCCGCCUCCGGGGCGGAUUCGGUGAGCUCUGCCCCGGGGCGGGCGGCGGGGACUGUGUGCCCCGCGGAAGCCCCCCUCGACCGGCGUACCGGGCCCCUGCCGCACUCCGACCCGAAACUUUCAUGUUUCUACUAAAGGCCCGACGGGUGGGAGAGAGAUCGCGAAGGUCAUCAUCACAGAGGCAUGAACAACGCCUUUAGCAAGCCUGUAAGGAGCAGGGCUCCUGACCCGGGCAGGAAUGCAAUUGAAUGUGAAUGUUCCCCUGACUGGCUGUAGAAGAGAAGCAGUAUUGGACACGUUUUGAAUUAGCCACAGAUGAUUAGAAAUGAGUAUUAGUGAAUGGCAAUAGUGACUAAACUAUCUGGAUUCUGAACUACUUUACUUCAAUACAAUGUUCCAGUUUUUGGUCAAUUAA